UUGAAGUGUGUCCACCUUUGGGAGCUUCUGAGUAAGUGCUAGGAUCAGGCACGUGGGUACCUCUGCCGGCGGGGGUUCUCUUGGGUGCACGCCCCAGGGAGCUUCUGAGUCAACGUUACUCUAAGUUUCACUCCUUAGAAAGGCGGGUCGCCUCCCCAGUGGCUGUCUAGGCCACCCUCGACUCCUCUGGCUUAUAUGUGUCUUCACGUCACCACACAUGGCCAGGUACACCCUGGCCCCGACUGCUGGACCCGCUCUUCACUUUGCUCUGAUAGAGGGACCAUGAGUGGACACACCGGGGCUGGCUGCCUCGGGUGGACCCUGGCCCGGCCACUCACCAGUUGAAGGGCACUGGAGAAGUGAACCAGCCAUUCCAAGCCCCAACCGCAACCUGUAAAACGGGUGACCAUUGUGCCCAUUGUCACGAGGAUCAUGGAACUGUCACUUUAGAGGUGCCUGGAGCAGGGCUGGACGUGCUGAGCUGGCACGCUGGGAGUGGCACCCCGCCUCAAGAGCCAGCAUGAGUGCGGGGCGACCGCUGUCCAGCUGGAAGAAAGAGACCCUCAGAGCUUGGCCAGGUGAGUGCCGCGGGCGCAGAGGACGGCAGGCCAUGGAGCGGCUGGGUGCCCCGGGAGGAGCACAGCCAGCCUCCUGGGAAGGCUCACGUCACAGCGUCAGCAGCCUAGGGACCCGCUCCGUGAUCUGCAGACCGGAGGCAGAGUGCUGGUCACUGACGCCCCUUGCCAGGGGAGCUGCGGCCGUGUGUCCGAAUCCACGCUCCUCCCUCCCCACCACGGCCCCCAGCUGCGCUCUCCCCCCGGCAGAGAAGGAACGGAGGCUCCGACAGAAGGCUACCCAGACAUCGGCGGCUCCAGGAUUGGGGCCCAGUUUCAUCUGGCUCCAGAAACCCCCCUCUCCACACUCCGAGUUCAUCCUUAGAAACUUCCAGCUCGAACACCGUCUCCCGCUUUCCACGCCAGGGCCUUCCUCCCUGCCGAGGGCCACGGCGGAGCUGGGCGCAUCCUGAUGCCCCUGGACGGCGUGGGCUCCCCAUUUGUUUUUUCCUGAUGGCAAGUAUUUUCAUUUGCUUUGGGUGGAAAAACAAACCUUUUGCUGUUGUGGAUGUUUCAAAGGGACCAUCUGGGCCACAAGAUAUCCGCUGGACACCACACCAGGAACAGCAGGUUGCUCAGAUACAUUGAUUCCUAUCAGCGCUUGACCUCAUUUAUUUUUGAAAAAUAUCUAGCUCCAAACACGGUGCUUUGAAGGUACGAGUGAUAAACGCCCCGUGGGUCUAACCAGGGCAGGAUCUUGCCAGCCCCAUCUUCUCCUGGCCCGGGGACUGUGUCUGGGAUCGGGGCCUGGUCUCUGCACUGAAUCAGCCCAGACACAGCCGGGCAGGGAACCGUCGCGUCUGAGAGGCCCUCAGGUGUGAAGCAGGAGAGUCAAGGUCAAGGUCAGGAGAGCACCGUGAGGCAGACAUGGAGGUGAGCUCAGCCCAGCUCAGCAGAGCCACAGGCCUGGCCUCCGCACCCAGGGUUCCUUGAUGAGGAAGUGGCCAGACGUUCCCAACGCCGGGGAGGAGGGACCACUGACCCCAGGAGAGGAGCCACCCCGCUCCACAGAAGGGGCGGAUGCCCUGCACUCACCUGGCAAGAGCUCCUGGGACCUUGUCCCUGUCCACAGCGGGCAGCUGUCUGCUCUCCAACCCGGGCAGCUGAGAGCCUCGGUGUGGACAACACCACUCCUGUCUACACACGUUUUCUCCGGAUUCCCAGACAGAGCAGUUUCUAGAAGAAUGCGGACGAUGUCUCAUCCAUGGCCAAAGCGUUGCUUCCGGUGGGAAGGUGCUGUGCCACAUUUCAGAACUUUCCUAGGGCCAGCGGGGCUCGAGGGGCCAGUUCACACAGGUGAUCUGUGCUCCCUGAGUCCUGACUCGCUAGACCCACCAUGUCUGUCUGACCUGAGACCCCGUCUGAUGGUCUAGAUAAUCAGCAGAACUUCCCAAAAUAAGGAGAAGCAGCCUCCGUUUGCAGCACUACCUGGCACGAGGGGCCUGUCCUCACCCUGGGACAUCACCCAGCCGUCAGCGGGAGCAAAGGCCCGAUGCAGGCUGCACAGAGACCCUUGGUGAAAGGGACCAGAUGCAGGGACCGCCUGUCAUAUGGAUCCAUUUAUACACGGUGUCCGGGACGAGCAAGUCUGUGACGACGGAGAGAUCAGUGGUUGCAGGCUGGGGAGCGGGAGGAGCUCUGGGUGAGGAUUGAGGGUGCCAAGUUUCUUUUCAGAGUGAUGAAAAUGUUCUGAAAUUGACUAAAAUUGUUCUGAAAUUGGUGAUGGCUGCAUGACUCUGAAAAUACCCAGAUCCACUCAGUCGCGCCCUUCAAAAGCGUGAGUUGUGCCUGUGACAUUCCAAU
rnacentral:lncRNA from 1 species